AGUGAACGCUGGCGGUAGGCCUAACACAUGCAAGUCGAACGGCAGCACAGUAAGAGCUGGCUCUUACGGGUGGCGAGUGGCGGACGGGGGAGGAAUACAUCGGAAUCUACUUUUUCGAGGGGGAGAACGUAGGGAAACUUACGCUAAUACCGCAUACGACCUACGGGUGAAAGCAGGGGAUCUUCGGACCUUGCGCGAUUGAAUGAGCCGGUGUCGGAUUAGCUAGGUGGCGGGGUAAAGGCGCACCAAGGCGACGAUCGGUAGCUGGGCUGAGAGGAUGAACAGGCCCACUGGGACUGAGACACGGCACUGACUCCGACGGAAGGCAGAGGUGGGGAAGAUUGGCAAAUGGGCGGAAGCCUGCACCAGCCAUGCCGGGUGGGUGAAGAAGGGCUUCGGGUUGUAUGACCCUUUUGUUGGGAAAGACCAGCAGCAGCUUAAUCCCCCGCUGUUCUGACGGUACCCAAAGAAUAAGCACCGGCUAACUUCGUG
rnacentral:rRNA from 1 species